rnacentral:rRNA from 1 species
AUACAGAGGGUGCGAGCGUUAAUCGGAAUUACUGGGCGUAAAGCGCGCGUAGGCGGCUUAUUAAGUCAGAUGUGAAAUCCCCGGGCUCAACCUGGGAACUGCAUCUGAUACUGGUAAGCUAGAGUUUGGGAGAGGGAAGUAGAAUUUCAGGUGUAGCGGUGAAAUGCAUAGAUAUCUGAAGGAAUACCAGUGGCGAAGGCGGCUUCCUGGCCUAAAACUGACGCUGAGGUGCGAAAGCGUGGGUAGCAAACGGGAUUAGAUACCCGGGUAGUCC